rnacentral:rRNA from 1 species
ACGAACGCUGGCGGCGUGCCUAAUACAUGCAAGUAGAACGCUGAAGGAGGAGCUUGCUUCUCUGGAUGAGUUGCGAACGGGUGAGUAACGCGUAGGUAACCUGCCUGGUAGUGGGGGAUAACUAUUGGAAACGAUAGCUAAUACCGCAUAAUAGCAGUUGUUGCAUGAUAACUGUUUGAAAGGUGCAAUUGCACCGCUACCAGAUGGACCUGCGUUGUAUUAGCUAGUUGGUGGGGUAACGGCUCACCAAGGCGACGAUACAUAGCCGACCUGAGAGGGUGAUCGGCCACACUGGGACUGAGACACGGCCCAGACUCCUACGGGAGGCAGCAGUAGGGAAUCUUCGGCAAUGGACGGAAGUCUGACCGAGCAACGCCGCGUGAGUGAAGAAGGGUUUCGGAUCGUAAAGCUCUGUUGUAAGAGAAGAACGAGUGUGAGAGUGGAAAGUUCACACUGUGACGGUAUCUUACCAGAAAGGGACGGCUAACUACGUG